AGGAGUGAUCACAAAAAUAGGGAAAAAUGUGAGCAACUUCAAGAUCGGUGACAGGGUGGGCGUGGGCUGCAUUGCAGCAUCGUGCCUUAACUGUGAAUUCUGUAAUGGCUCCCAGGAGAACUACUGCAACGAACUCAGGCUGACCUACAAUGGAGUCUUCUGGGACGGCAGCAUCACCUAUGGUGGCUACUCUAGAAUGUUGGUGGCUGAUAAAAGGUUUGUCGUCCACAUCCCGGAUAGCUUGCCACUGGAUGCAGCAGCUCCCCUUCUAUGUGCCGGAAUCACGGUGUUCAGCCCGAUGAAGCAUCACAACAUGCUUCAACCUGGCAAGAAACUCGGAGUGGUUGGCUUAGGGGGCCUUGGCCAUGUGGCCGUUAAAUUCGGAAAGGCUUUUGGGCUGCACGUUACAGUAAUCAGCACCUCUCCGUCCAAGGAAAUGGAAGCCCGGGUGCGUUU
rnacentral:misc_RNA from 1 species